rnacentral:rRNA from 1 species
UACGUAGGGUGCGAGCGUUGUCCGGAAUUAUUGGGCGUAAAGAGCUCGUAGGCGGUUUGUUGCGUCGGUUGUGAAAUCCCGAGGCUCAACCUCGGGUCUGCAGUCGAUACGAGCAAACUAGAGUGUUGCAGGGGAGACUGGAAUUCCUGGUGUAGCGGUGAAAUGCGCAGAUAUCAGGAGGAACACCGGUGGCGAAGGCGGGCUCUGGUCGAAGCCAUCAUCGUCGCUGAGGAGCGAAAGCGUGGGGAGCGAACAGG